rnacentral:rRNA from 1 species
CCUACGGGGGGCUGCAGUGAGGAAUAUUGGUCAAUGGACGCAAGUCUGAACCAGCCAUGCCGCGUGCAGGAAGACGGCCCUAUGAGUUGUAAACUGCUUUUGUACGAGGGUAAACGCAGUUACGUGUAUCUGUUUGAAUGUAUCGUACGAAUAAGGAUCGGCUAACUCCGUGCCAGCAGCCGCGGUAAUACGGAGGAUUCAAGCGUUAUCCGGAUUUAUUGGGUUUAAAGGGUGCGUAGGCGGUCGGAUAAGUUAGAGGUGAAAUCCCGAGGCUCAACUUCGGAAUUGCCUCUGAUACUGUUCGGCUGGAGAGUAGUGGCGGUAGGCGGAAUGCAUGGUGUAGCGGUGAAAUGCUUAGAGAUCACGCAGAACACCGAUUGCGAAGGCAGCUUACCAAGCUACUUCUGACGUUGAGGCACGAAAGCGUGGGGAGCAAACAGGAUUAGAUACCCCGGUAGUC